UGGACUUUAUUCGCGCAGUAUAGGUGGGAGGCGUUGAUUGUAAUCUUGCGGGAUUAUUGGAGCCAUCAGUGAGAUACCACUCUUGUAAUGUUAGAUUUCUAACUUUGUAUCAUUAUCUGGUCAAAGAACAGUUUCAGGCGGGCAGUUUGACUGGGGCGGUCGCCUCCUAAACGGUAACGGAGGCGUACAAAGGUUUCCUCUGAACGGUUAGAAAUCGUAUCUAGAGUGUAAAGGCAUAAGGAAGCUUGACUGUGAGACCUACAAGUCGAGCAGGGACGAAAGUCGGUCUUAGUGAUCUGACGGUACUGAGUGGAAAGGCCGUCACUCAACGGAUAAAAGUUACUCUAGGGAUAACA
rnacentral:rRNA from 1 species